ensembl:lncRNA
AGCUGCAGCCACUGGCAACCUAAAGAACCACAGGCCUCCUGUGAGAGAGCAGAAUGGUGCAGGAGGCCAAGCCACAGAGCGUGGCUGGGGGACUGCAUGAGGCCAGCUCAGAGGGAGAGUAUUGGUGCCCUGGCACCUCCUCCACAUGGAACCAUGAGACAGGAGAAAGCAUCUAAAGGAAACAAGCUCGGAAAGGCCAUCCCAUCGUAUUUUUAGAAGUACUCACAUGAACUCUAAACAACACCUUGAGAGUCAUGGCAAUGCCCCGGACGUUUUGUAUCUUCGCUGGGUGUGUGAUAUCUUCCUGCCUGCUGGCCCAGUGUCUGUUAAGGAAUUCUGCAGAUCCAGUGCCAGGCCGUGACAGGAGACUUGCUCUAAAACAAUCAUCAGCCAGGUGGAAACAACAUCAAAAAUAAUUCUGUUUGCUAAGAGCGUUGUUCACAGCACCUCACUCCAGAGCUCUUUUCCUCUGCAUCUUGGAGUUGUUUUCACAGAGCCCACUUGCUCACCUUAUACCCGACACCUCACAGGGCAUCAUGUCAGGUUGAGUGGUCUACCUGUAAGCCUUUCUAUGUUAGCAAGAACAUUUUAAAAAAAAACAAAAAAAUCCCUUUAUUGGUCUUUGAUUCUGUGCUCACCAAGUCUUUUAUCCCUCGAAGAAUUUACGUCUUGUAGAUCAAAUGUGAAGUGCAGGACAAAGGAAGACGUGUAUAUCAAGUAAGGAAACAUGCCGGACUCAGGUGCCACAGUGAGACCUUAUACAGCUGUAUAUACUUUUACCAUUUUCACAAAUCACAGGAAAUUUUAUCCUUAUAAAUGGAACUCCCAAGUCUUGUUUUUCUUUCACAACUGGAGGAAACUAGAAAAAGAAGGACUAUUUUUGCUUUGAGAUUGGAUUUAUUUUUGGCUUAUUUGUUGAUUUUGGGGCAUGUUACAAGCCCCUGUGGGGAGAGGAAAGUCCUGGAGUCAGCAGGACCAGGCUUUCCAUCCUGCCUCCGGCACCAACCAGGCGUGCACGGGGCGCCGCUUGACUUUCUGAUGGGCAGUUUCCUCAUCUGAAAAGCAGGGAGGAUAUCUACCUCCCAUGCUUGAUGUCUGCGUCCAGCACAUCCUGGGCAACAAGAAGCUUUAAAUCUGAAUUUAGGUUGCCUUUUUACAUACGUACCUGUAGGAAGAAAACGGACCCUGAGCCACUACACCAGAUUUUGUUUCUGCUGCUUCUUAGUUUUGAACAAGUUAACUCAGAAACAAAACCUUAGACCCAAAAGGAUUUUGAGGGAUUGUCCAGUCCAGCCCCCUUGACCUACAGAUGACAAACUGUGGUCCACAAAAACGAAGGGUUUUGUCUAAGACCAUGCAGCAAACAUUGACCAUAAACCAGGAGUCAUGGGGUGGCUGGGCCCAGGGUUUUCCAGCUUUACAGUCCUGCCUUUGGGAAAGGAACACAGCUUCAAUGGGAAGAUGUGUAUGGAUGUAGAUGUGUUAGGAUAUAAUCAUUUUUUGAGUGUUUACCUAAUUUGAUAUUCUGAGUGUCAGAAAAAGCUGGUUUAGAUCAAAAGAGGAAAACAGCAACUGUGACUAUUUCACCAGGAGAGAAUUACAAAGCAGAGAGCUUAGAGUUCAGAUAGAGCUCGGAAAACGG